rnacentral:lncRNA from 1 species
GGUCCUUGCGUUUGCAAGGCAGGCAGCAGAACCACUGAGCUAAAUCCCCGGCCCUCAAAAUAUAGUUUUAUUUGUAGUGCUUUGGCCGCCCCUAAAAUUAAACCUUGUUCUUUAAUCUAACUUGUUCUUUUUGGUGAAACAGCUGCAGUGUAGGGAUUAUGAGGGUCCGAUUUCAGCCUCAAACCUGGGGACGCCGACUCAUGGCCUUGUGCCGCCGACUUGGUUUCUUCGAGCCAGUUCCCCUAGGGGAAGAGUGGACAAGGGCUCUCUCAUCACAGCACUGUUCAGAUUUCACAGCACAGACGUGUCUAGAGGCCGGGUUGUAAGAAAUUUCUAGGGGACUGGGACGCGCGUUGCGAGGUGAUGCGCAGCAGCUCAAGACCCCGCGUUGAGAGACCCACAACAUAGGCUGCUUUCCCUCGCCAUCCUAGAAUGGAGAGGGCUGACAAAAGUCUCGGAAUAGAUUUGAAGGUGAAUGGAAAAUAAGAAACACAAAGAGCGGCAGAAAUGCUGCACUCAUUUGUAGGUUAAGAAUUCGUAGUGAACCCAGUUUUCGAUUUUUCCCUUGAGCAGAAUUCCUAGAGAAAUUCUGAAAGCAGUGAGGGCCUUCGAAGGCGCUGGAUGGUGACUUCAGGCUGGAAGCUGUUUUUUUCUUCAGACUCUUGCUUAAAGAAAGGUCUGAACUGUUUAAUCUUCUUUGGACAUCUCAUCAGAGGUUUAACUACGCAUGCCACCAGAGGGAUGUUAAGGGUAAACAGCAAUUUGAAAAAUUUGCAUUCGAUUUUUUAAAUCCUAUCCUACUCAUGGGAAAUUCAGAUGAGAAUCUACAAAAACCAUAGUAAUUGCCAGGCAUGGUGGUGCACACCUGGAACCCCAGCAGUCUGGAGGCUGAGGCAGGAGGAUUGCUGUGAGUUUGAGGCUAGCCUGCGCUACAUAGCAAGAUUUCACCUAAAAAAAAAAACCUUCCGAAAAACUAUAAUUAUUUUUGUAAAUGAAAAUAAGCAAGCCAAA